GGCCUAACACAUGCAAGUCGAGGGGUAACAUAGAGUGCUUGCACUCUGAUGACGACCGGCGCACGGGUGAGUAACGCGUAUACAAUCUGCCUCAUACUAGGGGAUAGCCCAGAGAAAUUUGGAUUAAUACCCUAUAGUAUCAUUUAGAGUCAUCUCUUAAUGAUUAAAGGUUACGGUAUGAGAUGAGUAUGCGUUCUAUUAGUUAGUAGGUGAGGUAACGGCUCACCUAGACCACGAUAGAUAGGGGCCCUGAGAGGGGGAUCCCCCACACUGGUACUGAGACACGGACCAGACUCCUACGGGAGGCAGCAGUGAGGAAUAUUAGACAAUGGGCGAAAGCCUGAUCUAGCCAUGCCGCGUGCAGGAUGACGGCCCUAUGGGUUGUAAACUGCUUUUAUACAGGAAGAAAAAACUCUACGUGUAGAGUCUUGACGGUACUGUAAGAAUAAGGAUCGG
rnacentral:rRNA from 1 species